rnacentral:tRNA from 1 species
GACAUGGUGGCUCAGUGGUGAGAGCACCCGCCUCAUGAACGGGAGGUCGAGUCA